GCAAGGGGCAGGCUGAGAUCAGAGGGCAGAGGGCAGAGAUGAAAGGCCCAGGCCUUGCUGCUUCCCAUAACAGUUACAAGCACUGGCUCUGCCAUCGGAGAUGAAAGGGUACACGUGGGGUUCUCCGACCUUCCAGCCGUGUGACCUCGGACUAGACCUCUGUUUGCUUAGCUCCCUCCACUUGCCUUCCUCGAAUGUGGGAACCCCGGACUCUGUCUUGGAAAAGACCUGGCCUCUCCUUCUCUGGGUUGGGUCCAUCCGUGGGCUCCCGCAGAGGCCUGUGGUUGCAGAGACCGGAAGCUGCAGCUUCAGGAGGGUAAGUGACUGUGCCCAGGAGCCGCACUGAGCAGCAGCGGGCUCCGCAGGGCCUCCAGGCUCCCCCGGGCAUCAGUGCGUGCUGCCACCUCCCCCUUCUCUGUGAGCUGGCACUGUGAGGCUGAGGGGCACAGGCUGGGGCAGGAAUCUCGGUUCUUCCCAGCUCUGUGAGAACUGGGAGAUGCUCGAGAACUAUCCCAUCCCCGGAUCUCAGUUCCCCCAUUGUAACGGGGCAGCUGGACUCAGGGAUGUCCAGUCCCCAUGCUGGAUCCCACCUUCAUCUCCCUGUGUGAGAUGGGGGUGGUGUCCUGUGCCCCAUCCCUAUCCCUGGGCCUGAAUUCCCAGCUGCUGUACUGGUGCCCGGGUCCCUGGGUCCCUCCCACCCUGAGCCGCCUCCAGACCAAGCUAUUGUCUCGGAUCCAAGCAGCCAGGCUGGCUGGGCCUGGAGCGGGACGGGAGGACUGCGGGAUUGCUGAGCCAGGAGGGGAACAGAGCACCUGCUUCCCUGUGACUGCCUCUUGGAGCGCUAAUCAUGGAGUUGUCCCAGAGCAGGGCUCCUCACUGAGCCCUUCAAUAUCUGAUCUGUCAUGGAAGAAAAAUGUUGCGUUUUGUGUCUGAGACCUUUCCUUGAUCCCAUCUUGCAAAAGAGAAAGAAAGAAAAAAGAAACAACAAAGGCUGCCGGGAGAGUGAGAGAUUUGAGAGGAGCAUUUCUGAGGGAGCCGCAUGGGACAGAAAGUCAUCCCUCCGCUCACCUGAGACAAAUACUUAUCUGAUUGUUUUCUGAUAUGAUUUGGCUCUGUGUCCCCACCCAAAUCUCAUCUUGAAUUAUAAUCCCCACGUGAUGAAGGAGGGGCCUGGAGGGAGAUGACUGGAGCAUGGGGCAGAUUUCUCCCUUGCUGUUCUCAUGAUAGUGAGUGAGUUCUCACGAGAGCUGAUGGUUUUCGAGUGUGGCACUUCCCCUGCUCCCCGCCUCCUGCCACCAUGUAAGAUGUGCCUGCCUCCACUUCCACCAUGAUGAUUCACUGAGCUACACUAAGGACUCAGGGAAAGGCUAAUCAGAGACUCAGAAGAAUGCAACUGCUUGUCUCUUAUCUACCUGCGACCUGGAAGCCUCUUACUUCGAGUUGCUCUGCCUGACUGGACUGAACCAAUGUUCAUCUUACAUAUAUUGACUGAUGUCUUACGUAUCCCUAAAAUGUAUAAAACCCAGCUGUGUCCUGAACACCUUGGGCACAUGUUAUCAGGACCUCCUGAGGCUGUGUCACAGGUGUGUCCUUAAUCUUGGCAAAAUAAACUUUCUAAAUUGACUGAGGUCUGUCUCAGAUCCUUCAGGGUCACAGCAAUCAGGGAGAGUUGUCUUCCCCAAGCCCCGAGAGACUGCAGCAGGCCGAGGCUGGGGACUGUCAGGAGCAAGAGGAGCCAAGGUGUGGAUGGAGUGAAAGGCCCAUAGGGGGACCUGUCUACGCGAUGGAUAUACCCGAGGGCUCCCCUAUCCUGCCUGUAAUUACACGAAUGUGGGGGGGACAGUGGGGACAUGAGUCCACUGCACACUUACCCACCCUGGACCAAUGCAUAGUAGGUGCUUCACACACACUUGCUGAAGGUUCAGCCCAGCCUCAUGUCCCCUAGAAAGCCCUCCCUGGUCAUUCACCCUGGAUCAACACAUAGUAGAUGCUUCACACGCACUUGUUGAAGGUUCAGCCCAGCCUCAUGUUCCCCAGAAAGCCCUCCCUGGUCAUUCAGUCUGUCAUGGAGUGAGGCGGGUCAGUUUCAUGGUCCAGGACACAGACCCCAGGGCCAGGUCUGGCAGGUUUUCAUGCGACUUGGGCUCUCCCUGGCUGAAGGGUCUCGGGCACGUGUCUUAGUCUCCUUGCAUCCUAGUUUUGUUGAAGAAAAGAGUCAACCUCUGUAAAAUAUUUGAAGAGAUUUAUUCUGAGCCAGAUAUGAGUGAUCAUGGC
rnacentral:lncRNA from 10 species